rnacentral:rRNA from 2 species
GGAGCUUGCUCCCUGAUGUUAGCGGCGGACGGGUGAGUAACACGUGGGUAACCUGCCUGUAAGACUGGGAUAACUCCGGGAAACCGGGGCUAAUACCGGAUGGUUGUUUGAACCGCAUGGUUCAAACAUAAAAGGUGGCUUCGGCUACCACUUACAGAUGGACCCGCGGCGCAUUAGCUAGUUGGUGAGGUAACGGCUCACCAAGGCAACGAUGCGUAGCCGACCUGAGAGGGUGAUCGGCCACACUGGGACUGAGACACGGCCCAGACUCCUACGGGAGGCAGCAGUAGGGAAUCUUCCGCAAUGGACGAAAGUCUGACGGAGCAACGCCGCGUGAGUGAUGAAGGUUUUCGGAUCGUAAAGCUCUGUUGUUAGGGAAGAACAAGUACCGUUCGAAUAGGGCGGUACCUUGACGGUACCUAACCAGAAAGCCACGGCUAACUACGUGCCAGCAGCCGCGGUAAUACGUAGGUGGCAAGCGUUGUCCGGAAUUAUUGGGCGUAAAGGGCUCGCAGGCGGUUUCUUAAGUCUGAUGUGAAAGCCCCCGGCUCAACCGGGGAGGGUCAUUGGAAACUGGGGAACUUGAGUGCAGAAGAGGAGAGUGGAAUUCCACGUGUAGCGGUGAAAUGCGUAGAGAUGUGGAGGAACACCAGUGGCGAAGCGACUCUCUGGUCUGUACUGACGCUGAGGAGCGAAGCGUGGGAGCGACAGGAUUAG